rnacentral:rRNA from 1 species
GCGCAGCAGGCGAGAAUCCUUCGCAAUGCGGGAAACCGCGACGAGGGGACUCCCAGUGCCUACGCUCAGCGUAGGCUGUUCCCGAGCCUAGAAAGCUCGGGGAGUAAGGGCUGGGUAAGACGGGUGCCAGCCGCCGCGGUAAUACCCGCAGCCCGAGUGGUGGCCACUAUUAUUGGGCCUAAAGCGUCCGUAGCCGGCCCGGUAAAUGCCUGGGUAAAUCGUGAGGCCUAACCUCACGAAUUCCGGGUAGACUGCCGGGCUAGGGACCGGAGGAGGGAGAGGGUACUCCAGGGGUAGGGGUGAAAUCCUGUAAUCCCUGGAGGACCACCGGUGGCGAAGGCGCUCUCCUAGGACGGGUCCGACGGUGAGGGACGAAAGCCAGGGGAGCGAACCGGAUUAGAUACCCGGGUAGU